rnacentral:rRNA from 1 species
GUAGGUUGCGAGCGUUGUCCGGAUUUACUGGGCGUAAAGCGCGCGCAGGCGGCUUCGAAAGUCCACGGUGAAAGCUCCCGGCCCAACUGGGAGAGGCCCGUGGAAACUCCGGAGCUUGAAGGCAGGAGAGGCAGAUGGAAUUUCCGGUGUAGCGGUAAAAUGCGUAGAUACCGGAAGGAACACCAGUGGCGAAGGCGAUCUGCUGGCCUGUUCUUGACGCUCAGGCGCGAAAGCUAGGGGAGCGACCGGGAUUAGAUACCCCGUUAGUCCUAGCUGUAAACAAUGGGCACUAGGUGUUGUCGGUAUCGACCCCGGCAGUGCCGUAGCUAACGCAUUAAGUGCCCCGCCUGGGGAGUACGACCGCAAGGUUA